rnacentral:tmRNA from 1 species
GGGGGUGAAAUUGGCUUCGACGGGGGUAUGGAACUAGGAGUAGCCAGGCGUGUUUUGUUUAGUUUCACGUAAAAAAGCUGAACACUAAAUAUAAUUGCAGACGAAAAUUACGCAUUAGCUGCCUAAUAUAGCAGUUGCCUUCCUCUAGUAGUCCCGCCUAUUAGAGUGUAAGGUCCAUUAUCUGCGGGGAACUACUACUGGGAUGCUUCGACCUGUAGUAGACUAAUUGAAGCUAGCCAAUUAAAAAGCUUGUUGUUGAGCGUUUUAUGAGGCGAAUUUUAAAGCAGCAACUAUCCUGGUAGAAGCUCGUGGGGAAGUGCUUUCGGACGAGGGUUCGACUCCCUCCACCUCCACCA